GUCUACGGCCAUGCCACCCUGAACGUGCAUGAUCUCGUCUGAUCUCGGAAGCUAAGCAGGGUCGGGCCUGGUUAGUACUUGGAAGGGAGACCACGUAGGAAGACCAGGUGCUGUAGGCU
rnacentral:rRNA from 1 species